GAUGAACGCUGGCGGCGUGCUUAACACAUGCAAGUCGAGCGGGCAAUUUAUCUAGCACUGAUUACUUCAAAUGGAAAUCAUAAGUGUAAUCAUGAAUUUCUACCUUUAAUAAGGGAAAAAGAAAUUCAUGUACGCAAAUAGUGAUAACACAUGAAAGUGGAGUGAUGAGUGCUGGAUAAAUUGCUAGCGGCGGACGGGUGCGUAACACGUGGGUAACCUGCCCCUAUCACUGGGAUAACACACUGAAAAGUGUGCUAAUACCAGAUAAUAUAAGCUUUUGGCAUCAUUAGCUUAUCAAAGAAUUUCGGAUAGGGAUGGGCCCGCGUCUGAUUAGCUAGUUGGUGAGGUAACGGCUCACCAAGGCAACGAUCAGUAGCCGACCUGAGAGGGUGAUCGGCCACACUGGAACUGAGACACGGUCCAGACUCCUACGGGAGGCAGCAGUGGGGAAUUUUGGACAAUGGGCGCAAG
rnacentral:rRNA from 1 species